UACGAAGGGGGCGAGCGUUGUUCGGAAUUACUGGGCGUAAAGGGCGCGCAGGCGGUCCUUCAAGUCAGAUGUGAAAGCCCCGGGCUCAACCUGGGAACAGCAUUUGAGACUGGAGGACUUGAGGACGGGAGAGGAGAGUGGAAUUCCCAGUGUAGAGGUGAAAUUCGUAGAUAUCAGGAGGAACACCAAUAGCGAAGGCAGCUCGCUGGGACGUUACUGACACUGAGGCGCGCAAGCGUGGGGAGCGAACAGG
rnacentral:rRNA from 1 species